UGGGGAAUAUUGCACAAUGGGCGCAAGCCUGAUGCAGCAACGCCGCGUGAGGGACGACGGCCUUCGGGUUGUAAACCUCUUUUAGUAGGGAAGAAGCGAAAGUGACGGUACCUGCAGAAAAAGCACCGGCUAACUACGUGCCAGUAGCCGCAGUAAUACGUAGGGUGCGAGCGUUGUCCGGAAUUAUUGGGCGUAAAGAGCUCGUAGGCGGUCUGUCGCGUCUGCUGUGAAAACCCGAGGCUCAACCUCGGGCCUGCAGUGGGUACGGGCAGACUAGAGUGCGGUAGGGGAGAAUGGAAUUCCUGGUGUAGCGGUGGAAUGCGCAGAUAUCAGGAGGAACACCGAUGGCGAAGGCAGUUCUCUGGGCCGUAACUGACGCUGAGGAGCGAAAGCGUGGGGAGCGAACAGGAUUAGAUACCCUGGUAGUCCACGCCGUAAACGUUGGGCGCUAGAUGUGGGGACCAUUCCACGGUUUCCGUGUC
rnacentral:rRNA from 1 species